rnacentral:rRNA from 1 species
GCCAGCAGCCAUAUCACCCUGCAACUCACAACUGGCAGCCCACUGAAGCUAAGCUAAGUUAAGGUGUGAGCCUGGUCAGUAGCUGGAUGGGAGACCUCCUGGGAAAAACUAAGGUUGCUGCUGGAA